rnacentral:lncRNA from 1 species
CAUCCUCUGCUGUACCUAAAUAUAUCACACUUCAUCAAAACAUUGGCAAAGUCUAGUAAACCAAACUUCUGCUAAGAAAAUUAUUAGCAGAUGCACCCACAAUAAGCCAAAUUUAGUAACUACAUUAGCAGAUUGUAUCAUACAUCAGUGUGCAGUGAACUAAUGAUAAACCAUUCAUAUGAAAACACCUCAAAUAAUUCUGCUUUCUAGAAUAAUUCAGUGGUCUAUAGAACACUAAACUAUGAGCUUGCAGGGCACAGUACC